UAGGUGUUAGAGUCAGUUGCUGCUGGAGAGAUCCAGGGGAGGAACGUCCGGGCUCCACAGGGCAAUGAAGGUAGCUAACGGCUGCUGAGGGAAACCUUAAGGAAAGUGCCACAGAAAAUAGACCGCCUAUAAAUUUGUUUUAUAGGUAAGGGUGAAAAGGUGGGGUAAGAGCCCACCAGUAUGAUAGGAAACUAUUGUAGCUUGGUAAACCCCUUCUGGAGCAAGACCGAAGAAAGAUCAUUAUGAGACUGCCCGUCUCGAUUUUUAGGUGUGUCGCUUGAGCCUAUAAGCAAUUAUAGGCCUAGAUAAAUGAUUGACCAACGACAAAACCCGGCGUAUCCUAACACCUAUUUA
rnacentral:RNase_P_RNA from 1 species